AACGAACGCUGGCGGCAGGCUUAACACAUGCAAGUCGAACGCGUGUAGCAAUACACGAGUGGCGCACGGGUGAGUAACGCGUGGAUAUCUGCCUUCUGGUUCGGAAUAACCCCGGGAAACUGGGGCUAUUACCGAAUGGUUCCUACGGGAUAAAGAUUUAUCGCCAGAAGAUGAGUCCGCGUCCGAUUAGCUAGUUGGUGAGGUAACGGCUCACCAAGGCGACGAUCGGUAGCUGGUCUGAGAGGACGAUCAGCCACACUGGGACUGAGACACGGCCCAGACUCCUACGGGAGGCAGCAGUGGGGAAUAUUGGACAAUGGGGGCAACCCUGAUCCAGCCAUGCCGCGUGAGUGAUGAAGGCCUUCGGGUUGUAAAGCUCUUUUGGCGGGGACGAUGAUGACGGUACCCGCAGAAUAAGCCCCGGCUAACUUCGUGCCAGCCGCCGCCGUAAUAC
rnacentral:rRNA from 1 species